rnacentral:rRNA from 1 species
GAUUUACUGGGCGUAAAGGGCGCGUAGGCGGUCACAACAAGUCACUUGUGAAAUCUCCGGGCUUAACUCGGAAAGGUCAAGUGAUACUGUCGGACUAGAGUACAGAAGGGGCAACUGGAAUUCUCGGUGUAGCGGUGAAAUGCGUAGAUAUCGAGAGGAACACCUGCGGCGAAGGCGGGUUGCUGGGCUGAUACUGACGCUGAGGCGCGAAAGCUAGGGGAGCGAACGGGAUUAGAUACCCCGGUAGUCCUAGCCUUAAACGAUGAAUGCUUGGUGUCUCGGGUUAUAAAGUCCCGGGGUGCCGUCGCUAACGCUUUUAGCAUUCCGCCUGGGGAGUACGGUCGCAAGACUGAAACUCAAAGGAAUUGACGGGGACCCGCACAAGCGGUGGAGCAUAUGGUUUAAUUCGACGCAACGCGAAGAACCUUACCUGGGCUAGAAUGCUCCGGACAGCCCCAGAGAUGGGGUCUCCUGGGUAACACCAGGCCGGAUGCAAGGUGCUGCAUGGCU